AUUGAACGCUGGCGGCAGGCCUAACACAUGCAAGUCGAGCGGAGCGGCGGACGGGGGAGUAAUGCCUAGGAAUCUGCCUGGUAGUGGGGGAUAACGUCCGGAAACGGGAGCUAAUACCGCAUACUAUGAGCUGCGACUAGGUCGGAUUAGCGAGUUGGUGGGGUAAAGGCCUACCAAGGCGACGAUCCGUAACUGGUCUGAGAGGAUGAUCCGUCAAAUUGGAAUUGAGACACGGUCCAGACGCCUACGGGAGGCAGCAGUGGGGAAUAUUGGACAAUGGGCGAAAGCCUGAUCCAGCCAUGCCGCGUGUGUGAAGAAGGUCUUCGGAUUUUAAAGCACUUUAAGUUGGGAGGCGUUACCAACAGAAUAAGCCCCGGCUAACUUCGUGCCAGCAGCCGCGGUAAUUC
rnacentral:rRNA from 1 species